AGUCGAUUUACAGUCAUUAAAACCUCUAAAAAAAAUGCGGUGCUCGACUAUGGUCAAUGUGCCGUUUCUUCGUGAUUAUUCAAAUAAGAAAGAUCAACUCAAUUUAUCAAAUUAAAAAGUCGUAAAUGUUCUAUACUUAUUUAAAAAGUAAUACUAAACGAUACAGCAGAUACGAGAUACGUUUAGACAAAAUCAUCAAGUAUCCACUAAAAACAGUGCGAAAAAAAAUAAUAAUAACAAAAAAAAAAUAGUGCAAUCAUAUCUUGACGAAAAAAAUCAUACAAAUGACAACCGAACUCUCAUAAUCGAAAUUGAAUUCUUUAACACAUUAUCAAAUCAAUAACACGGAAAAGAAUUUAGGCACAAUUAGCCAAACAGCCAUUAAAAUGAAGCCAUCAUUCGUAAUAGUUAAAAACCGAGUGACACUAACGUGAACAAGCUGGGUCCGUACAAAACAUAUGAGAUAUAGAAAUUGAAAAGGUAUUGAUAGUAACGAAAGGUCCUACACAUAAGAACAAAACACAAUCAAAACAACAAAUUAUUGCAAAUAACACCAUUAACAUCCCACGUAAGAUCGGUUAUCGUAAAUUUUAUUUGAGACUUUUGCUGUAUAGCUCAAGCAUCGUAUCCCAGUAUACGAAUCGUCAAACCGGAUUUGCGAUACAAAAGUUUAAAAAAAUCUCACAAAAGAAAA